rnacentral:rRNA from 1 species
GACGAACCGAGCGAACGUUAUUCGGAAUCACUGGGCUUAAAGGGUGCGUAGGCGGGCUCGUGAGUCAGGGGUGAAAUCCCACGGCCCAACCGUGGAAGUGCCUCUGAUACUGCGAGUCUAGAGGGGGACAGGGGCAUGCGGAACUUCCGGUGGAGCGGUGAAAUGCGUAGAUAUCGGAAGGAACACCGGUGGCGAAAGCGGCGUGCUGGAUCCCUACUGACGCUGAGGCACGAAAGCCAGGGGAGCAAACGGG